rnacentral:rRNA from 1 species
AACCUGGUUGGGUGGUCUGCCUUCACGGUACGUACUGCUUGGCCGGGUUCUACCUCUUGGUGAGCCGGCAUGCCCUUCACUGGGUGUGUCGGGGAACCAGGACUUUUACCUUGAGAAAAUUAGAGUGUUUAUGGCAGGCCGGAGUGCUUGAAUACAUUAGCAUGGAAUAAUGGAAUAGGA